CAGAAUAUAGCUUAGUUUAGAAAAGCACCUCCCUUACACCGAGGAGAUAUCCGUGCAAACCGGAUUACUCUGA
rnacentral:tRNA from 1 species